rnacentral:rRNA from 1 species
AAAACUUUCAACAACGGAUCUCUUGGUUCUGGCAUCGAUGAAGAACGCAGCAAAAUGCGAUAAGUAAUGUGAAUUGCAGAAUUCAGUGAAUCAUCGAAUCUUUGAACGCACAUUGCGCCCGCCAGUAUUCUGGCGGGCAUGCCUGUUCGAGCGUCAUUUCAACCCUCAAGCACAGCUUGGUGUUGGGACUCGCGUUAAUUCGCGUUCCCCAAAUUGAUUGGCGGUCACGUCGAGCUUCCAUAGCGUAGUAGUAAAACCCUCGUUACUGGUAAUCGUCGCGGCCACGCCGUUAAACCCCAACUUCUGAAUGUUGACCUCGGAUCAGGUAGGAAUACCCGCUGAACUUAAGCAUAUCAAUAAGCGGAGGAAAAGAAACCAACAGGGAUUGCCCUAGUAACGGCGAGUGAAGCGGCAACAGCUCAAAUUUGAAAUCUGGCUCUCGGGCCCGAGUUGUAAUUUGUAGAGGAUACUUUUGAUGCGGUGCCUUCCGAGUUCCCUGGAACGGGACGCCAUAGAGGGUGAGAGCCCCGUCUGGUUGGAUGCCAAAUCUCUGUAAAGUUCCUUCAACGAGUCGAGUAGUUUGGGAAUGCUGCUCUAAAUGGGAGGUAUAUGUCUUCUAAAGCUAAAUACCGGCCAGAGACCGAUAGCGCACAAGUAGAGUGAUCGAAAGAUGAAAAGCACUUUGAAAAGAGAGUUAAAAAGUACGUGAAAUUGUUGAAAGGGAAGCGUUUAUGACCAGACUUGGGCUUGGUUAAUCAUCUGGGGUUCUCCCCAGUGCACUUUUCCAGUCCAGGCCAGCAUCAGUUUUCCCCGGGGGAUAAAGGCGGCGGGAAUGUGGCUCUCUUCGGGGAGUGUUAUAGCCCACCGUGUAAUACCCUGGGGGGGACUGAGGUUCGCGCAUCUGCAAGGAUGCUGGCGUAAUGGUCAUCAACGACCCGUCUUGAAACACGGACC